AAAUGCCAGUACUAGUCUGAUCCCCAAAGUUAAGCAACAUUGAGCCCAAUCAGUAUCUAGAUGAGAGACUGCUUGGGAAUACCAGGUGCUGUAAG